GGCUCAGUGGUUAGAGCAGCAUUGGUGGGCUCACAAUCAUGAGGUAGUGAGUUCGAUUCCUGGACCAGGCUGUAUGUUAUGCUCUUGAGCAAGACACUUUAUUUCACGUUGCUCCAGUUCACUCAGCUCUACAAAUGAGUUGUGAUGCCACAGCUGUAUUGGCUUUUGCCUUUCCCUUGGCUAACAUCGGUAGCAUGGAGAGG